AUUGAACGCUGGCGGAAUGCUUUACACAUGCAAGUCGAACGGUAGAGGGGGCAACCCCUCGAGAGUGGCGAACGGGUGAGUAAUAUAUCGGAACGUGCCCAGUCGUGGGGGAUAACGGAGCGAAAGUUACGCUAAUACCGCAUACGAUCUAAGGAUGAAAGCGGGGGAUCGCAAGACCUCGCGCGAUUGGAGCGGCCGAUAUCAGAUUAGGUAGUUGGUGGGGUAAAGGCUCACCAAGCCAACGAUCUGUAGCUGGUCUGAGAGGACGACCAGCCACACUGGAACUGAGACACGGUCCAGACUCCUACGGAAGGCAGCAGUGGGGAAUUUUGGACAAUGGACGCAAGUCUGAUCCAGCCAUUCCGCGUGCAGGAUGAAGGCCCUCGGGUUGUAAACUGCUUUUGUACGGAACGAAAAGGUCUCUCUUAAUACGGGGGACUCAUGACGGUACCGUAAGAAUAAGCACCGGCUAACUACGUGCCAGCCGCCGCAGUAA
rnacentral:rRNA from 1 species